GAGAAAAUCACAGGAAAACAAAAUCAAAUAAAACCCACGAAAAAAAAAAGAUAGAAGAAGAAGAAGAGGAAGGAACGUGAUCAACAUCCCCAAGUUCAAAAUCAGUAAGGUUCUGGUUGAUAUUCGGGAGACUAAUAUUUUGAGAAAGUCGUGACCACUAGAGAUCCGACGUAGCUUCAUAGUAGCCGAACUUUUGGUUUGAGCUUUUGGCUAAGAGGCGUUAUAUGAAGAGCCUCUUCUUGUUGAUGUU